GACGAACGCUGGCGGCGUGCUUAACACAUGCAAGUCGAGCGGUAAGGCCCUUUCGGGGGUACACGAGCGGCGAACGGGUGAGUAACACGUGGGUGACCUGCCCUUAGCUCUGGGAUAAGCCUGGGAAACUGGGUCUAAUACCGGAUAUGACUCCAUAACGCAUGUUGUGGGGUGGAAAGCCUUGUGCGGCUAGGGAUGGGCCCGCGGCCUAUCAGCUUGUUGGUGGGGUGAUGGCCACCAAGGCGACGACGGGUAGCCGGCCUGAGAGGGCGACCGGCCACACUGGGACUGAGACACGGCCCAGACUCCUACGGGAGGCAGCAGUGGGGAAUCUUGCGC
rnacentral:rRNA from 1 species